UACGGAGGGCGCAAGCGUUGUUCGGAAUCACUGGGCGUAAAGCGCGUGUAGGCGGCUUGGUAAGUCGGGUGUGAAAGCCCGGAGCUCAACUCCGGAACUGCACUCGAAACUGCCUCGCUCGAGUCCCGGAGAGGGUGGUGGAAUUCCCGGUGUAGAGGUGAAAUUCGUAGAUAUCGGGAGGAACACCAGUGGCGAAGGCGGCCACCUGGACGGUGACUGACGCUGAGACGCGAAAGCGUGGGGAGCAAACAGG
rnacentral:rRNA from 1 species